rnacentral:rRNA from 1 species
GAUGAACGCUGGCGGCGUGCCUAAUACAUGCAAGUCGAGCGAACGGACGAGAAGCUUGCUUCUCUGAUGUUAGCGGCGGACGGGUGAGUAACACGUGGAUAACCUACCUAUAAGACUGGGAUAACUUCGGGAAACCGGAGCUCAUACCGGAUAAUAUUUUGAACCGCAUGGUUCAAAAGUGAAAGACGGUCUUGCUGUCACUUAUAGAUGGAUCCGCGCUGCAUUAGCUAGUUGGUAAGGUAACGGCUUACCAAGGCAACGAUGCAUAGCCGACCUGAGAGGGUGAUCGGCCACACUAGAACGGAGACACGGUCCAGACUCCUACGGGAGGCAGCAGUAGGGAAUCUUCCGCAAUGGGCGAAAGCCUGACGGAGCAACGCCGCGUGAGUGAUGAAGGUCUUCGGAUCGUAAAACUCUGUUAUUAGGGAAGAACAUAUGUGUAAGUAACUGUGCACAUCUUGACGGUACCUAAGCAGAAAGCCACGGCUAACUACGUG